ensembl:miRNA
CGGGCCCCGGGCGGGCGGGAGGGACGGGACGCGGUGCAGUGUUGUUCUUUCCCCUGCCAAUAUUGCACUCGUCCCGGCCUCCGGCCCCCUCGGCCC